UACGGGGGGAGCAAGCGUUGUUCGGAUUUACUGGGCGUAAAGGGCGCGUAGGCGGCCACCGCAAGUCGACUGUGAAAUCUCCGGGCUUGACCCGGAAAGGUCAGCCGAUACUGCGGGGCUAGAGUGCAGAAGGGGCAACUGGAAUUCUCGGUGUAGCGGUGAAAUGCGUAGAUAUCGAGAGGAACACCUGCGGCGAAGGCGGGUUGCUGGGCUGACACUGACGCUGAUGCGCGAAAGCUAGGGGAGCGAACGGG
rnacentral:rRNA from 1 species